AUUGAACGCUGGCGGCAGGCUUAACACAUGCAAGUCGAACGAGUGGCGGACGGGUGAGUAAUGCCUGGGAAUCUAGCUUAUGGAGGGGGAUAACUACGGGAAACUGUAGCUAAUACCGCGUACCAUGGGAUGAGCCCAAGUUGGAUUAGGUAGUUGGUGAGGUAAAGGCUACCCAAGCCGACGAUCUCUAGCUGGUCUGAGAGGAUGACCAGCCACACUGGGACUGAGACACGGCCCAGACUCCUACGGGAGGCAGCAGUGGGGAAUAUUGCGCAAUGGGGGCAACCCUGACGCAGCCAUGCCGCGUGUGUGAAGAAGGCCUUAGGGUUGUAAAGUACUUUCAGCGGGGAGGCGUUACCCGCAGAAGAAGCACCGGCUAACUCCGUGACAGCCGCCGCGGUAAUUC
rnacentral:rRNA from 1 species